rnacentral:tRNA from 1 species
GGUAACAUGGCCGAGUGGUUAAGGCGGCAGACUUAAGAUCUGCUUCUCGUACGAGAGCGUGAGUUCGAUCCUCACUGUUACCA